UACAGAGGGGGCAAGCGUUGCUCGGAAUUACUGGGCGUAAAGGGCGCGUAGGCGGGCUGGCAAGUCGGUCGUGAAAUCCCUCGGCUCAACCGAGGAACGUCGAUCGAUACUGCUGUUCUUGAGGAUUGCAGAGGAGACUGGAAUUCCCGGUGUAGCGGUGAAAUGUGUAGAGAUCGGGAGGAACACCGGUGGCGAAGGCGGGUCGCUGGGCAAUUCCUGACGCUGAGGCGCGAAAGCCAGGGGAGCAAACGGG
rnacentral:rRNA from 1 species